UUGUACUUCUUCCUACAAGGCUGCGAAGAGGGCCCCCUCCUUCCCAGCAUGCUGGCAGCAAGAUGUUUGAACACUUUUAAUGAGAUUGAACAAACCAGGAAAGAGAUGGAUCUGUAGCAGGCCCAUAAAAGCCUCUCCAUGUUCUGGUUAUUAACAACCGCUUUCAUUUUAGGGGCAAAACCCAGGACCCAGGCCAUAGCCUUUCCUGAGAGAGAAGAACACAGGAGUCUUGGCUUGCCAUUCGGGAUUGCUGGUGGUGGAGGCGGCUUCCGGGACACCCACGGGCAACAGAGACCAGCGAUGAGGAGCUCCUCGGUGCAGACCAGUUUUGGAGCUGUGUGUGGUGGCAGCCUUCAGAUCAUGUCGUUGGCCAUGGGGUGACAGCCCUUUCCUGGUGUGAUGAGCAUUGUGAAAGGUUUUUUUCAACCCAUCUCUCAUUUCAAAUGCCUGUAUGAGCGCUGGCCCCUCAGCUUCCAGGUGAGAAAGCAGAACAUUGCAUCCUCUGCCCAUCUCCUCACAGGGCACCCUGGCUGGAGAUACAGCCUUAUCUCUGUGUCACCGUUUCCUGCAAAUGAUGCUCUCCAUCACCAUGCACAGUAGCCCUCGCCCCCCCCCCCAGGCUAACCUGUGUGCCAGGACCCUGUCCAGGGCAUACACACCAAUGGCACAGCCUCCGCGCCAACCUCCACCCAGCUUUCUGGGUUUUUGCCACAACUCACCAGAGCAUCAUUGGCUACGAAAACUCUCUUCACCUGUAAGAUGGACCCAGGAGUCCUCAAGCUCUUCUCCCUCCAUGUGAAAUGCCACACACCACCAGCCGUUCACACUGAGCCCACCUGUGGUUCCAUCCAACCAUGCUGUAACAGGCAUGCUGGCGUGCCCACACACUGGGAACAGCAUUUACACACAUAGUGCGUCCCUGUGUGUCAUAAGGUAGACAGAUGGUGGCAAAUCGCCAUCCUGUCCUCUCUGAGCUUAACAGGUGCCUCUAAGUUGUUCAAACUUCGCAGCGGUGGCACGGCAUGCACUUCUUGCUGCUUUUGUCACUGUUUUGAGUGACACCUUCACUGCUUUGAUCUCUCUGUCCACAGUGACAGGAUUCAUCACGUGUCAGUUUUGUGCCAGGAAAUGUCAUUUAGGGACGAUGAGCUCCCUUGGUUGACCAGAGCAAUCACUCGGCUCUUCUGAAAAUGAACUGAAAGCUUCCAAGAUGUCACGUCACCGUUUGAAAGUCUCCCAAGAGAUCACACCUGGGGGCCCUGGGCAAUCAGAUCCCCAUCCCAGCAAGUUCCAGCGUGCGGACCCCACAGGCUCAGCCUGCCUGCCUCAGCGCUCGGAGAUCUGUAGGCUGUAUUUGUGCUGGAGUCCAGCACACACUAUGUACAUUGUUUCAGCUAUUCUAAGCUGUACUAUUUAUGUUCCCAUCUGUAUCACUAUGCUUAUGCUUUAAUAACUACUUUUAAGUGUUGAUCUAUCUUUAGGAACUGGAAGUAGAUUACACCACCACCCAAAAAAGUAAGGAGAAGCACAGAUGUUUACAAACAUAAACAAUAGCAUGCCAAUUACCAAAAAAAAAAAAAUGUGAUGACCUGAGAGUAACAGCAUCCUGGUAAUUUCUGCUCAAGGGACUCAGCCGAGGCUCAUGGUUCAUACCCAUCCAUAAAUGCAUAGCAAUUACUAAAGUGUAAUGCGAUUUCUGUAAAAUGCAAUUUUGUUUGUUCUGCAAACAAACAAAAUUGUUCCACUGCUUUUUUUCCCCUUAAAACAACCAGUUCCCUGCGGACCCAGCAUGGUUGCCAGGAUCAGCCCAGGAUCAGCCCAGGAUCAGCAGCCCAAGAUGGAGAAACAUCCAUCUUCCCCCAAAGCUGGUGGCUUCAGAGCCUGGGCCAGGCGGCAAUUCAUCGGGAGCACCAGCAUGACCCCUAGUAAGAGAGCUGCUGAGCUGAGGAGCCAGAGACCCGGGUUCAAGUCCUCACACCCCGGGGGUGAGCCAACUGGGCUACCUCUCUCCGCCCCAUUUCCUCAGGUGACAACAGCGGUGGUACCUGCUUUAUUCUUGCAAGGAUGUGAUGAGAUAGCAUGUACAAAUGUCCCCACACAAAGUAAGCAUGUGUGGCUGGCUGCUAUCAUUUAUUAUGUAGCAAUCAACUGACAAUAAUAUUAAUCACUCAGAAACUCAUUUUGGGAGGAAAAUAGCUGCUUGGGAAAAUCUCUGAUUCUGAAGAACACCCAUUAUUUUGCUCUCAUGAGCCAGCGAGUUUCCUGCCCACUGAAAACGACCAGCUGGGAGGUCAGGCAGCGGAGCAGAGAUGGCACCUGCCCCUGCGAGUGACAAGAGCCUCCAUCCAACCAAGUGUUUCCGUUUGGAAAUCUGGGCGAAAAGGCAAUUUGCUGGAUGCAGCAGAUGAAACCACUCAUUGACGGUUUACUUUUGGCUUGGAGCAUGUUUCUUGCUUGUUAAAUAUUUAUAAUGUGUU